AGGAAGUCUGUGUUCCGAGGUAUGGGAGAAAGCAUUUGCUUACAAACCUUUGACCAGGAAAGUGGAGGGCCACAGAGGCCAGGCCGAGGCCGAGAAGAGGCCCCGCCGAAACAGCCCACCCGCCAAUGCCCCUCCUGUCCCUGACCUGGACCUCGGGCUGAGCUCAUGCAUAUCUGAUUUCAUUUAAGUAACGGCAUUUAUGACUGACCAUUGUGUGGAAGGCACUAUCUUAAGUGCUCUCCAGUUGAGUCAUGACACCAUAAUAGCGACAGUGCUAACAGGUGGAAUGUGUUCCAUUGCCAGGAGCUGAACUCUGCCUAAAAGCAUUAUUCCAUCUAAUCUUAGUAGCUCAACUGUGAGGCAGGUGCCAUGAUUAGCACCCUUGCUUCGAGUUUAGGUGGUGGAGGCUUAGAGAAGUGAAGCGGUUUGCCCAGGUUCCAAGGGGUGAGAAAACCAAGGCCGGAAACUGUAACAGUUCCUAGUUCAAGGCUGUCUGCCAGACCACUGUUCUUCAUCAUGUGGGCAGAAGAAACGCAUGUCUGUGAACUCUGCAGGGACAGAGGGCAGUGAUACAGGCUGGAACCGAAGAUGACUGCCCUCUAAAGAAGCCGACAAUCUGGGACUGAGCUCAGUACAUCCAGUAGCCGCUGGCCCGGCCCGGGGCCGCCAGCAAGCUCUCUGACCCUUGGCUAGUUUUUAUGCAAGAUGGCAAGAGGGACAAUAUAAUUUUUCAGAUAACUCACAGUUUUAUCAUCUUACAAUUCUUUGGAUUGCAAUCAUAAAAAAUUCAGAAUAAAUCUGUUUAUUAAACUCUAAUUUGCUU